rnacentral:rRNA from 1 species
UACGUAGGGUGCAAGCGUUGUCCGGAAUUAUUGGGCGUAAAGAGCUCGUAGGCGGUCUGUCGCGUCGGCUGUGAAAACCCGGGGCUCAACCCCGGGCCUGCAGUCGAUACGGGCAGACUAGAGUGCGGUAGGGGAGACUGGAAUUCCAGGUGUAGCGGUGAAAUGCGUAGAUAUCUGGAGGAACACCGGUGGCGAAGGCGGCAGUCCUGGACCGGCAGUUGACGCUGACGGCGCGGAAAGCCAGGGGAAGCC